rnacentral:rRNA from 1 species
AUUGAUCGCUGGCGGCAUGCCUUACACAUGCAAGUCGAACGGCAGCACGGGUGCUUGCACCUGGUGGCGAGUGGCGAACGGGUGAGUAAUACAUCGGAACGUACCUUAUCGUGGGGGAUAACGCAGCGAAAGCUGUGCUAAUACCGCAUACGCCCUGAGGGGGAAAGCGGGGGAUCGAAAGACCUCGCGCGAUUAGAGCGGCCGAUGCCUGAUUAGCUUGUUGGUGGGGUAAAAGCCCACCAAGGCGACGAUCAGUAGCUGGUCUGAGAGGACGAUCAGCCACACUGGGACUGAGACACGGCCCAGACUCCUACGGGAGGCAGCAGUGGGGAAUUUUGGACAAUGGGGGCAACCCUGAUCCAGCAAUGCCGCGUGAGUGAAGAAGGCCUUCGGGUUGUAAGGCUCUUUUGUCAGGGAAGAAACACCGGCUCUAACACAGUCCGGGAAUGACGGUACCUGAAGAAUAAGCACCGGCUAACUACGUGCCAGCCGCCGCGGUAA